AAUUAAUCCAGGCAAUGCUGCAUCACUUGCGGGGAGGAACUGCCUGCAGGGUCUGUGCAGCUCCAGUGGAUACACAGUUACCCAGGGCAAGGGGGCGUGGUUUGGCAUAUUCUGAACCCACCUCCACUAUGGGUCCCUGGAGUGAUCCCUGAGGCCCCGCCUUGGUGGUGGGGGAAGGAAUGGUGAUCUCCCAGUCUCUUCUCCAGGGAGCCGGAGCUGGUGGACUCCGUUUGAGUCUUCCUCACUGUGCCGCGGGCGCAGAUAGGGCUGUCCUUCUCACUCCACCAACUCCCCUGACCCUGUGCUUGCCUAGGAUUCAAAGUCCUGCUUGGUGCACUCUGGCCCUGGGGAAGCGCCUCUCAGUGCUCCCAUAUGUGGUCACGGCUGGUUUGUCUGUGCAGCCACACUUCAGAGAGAACCUACUUCUAUUGCAGACUGAGAGCCUCUGCCCUGGCAGGGAGCCCAUCGGAUGGUGGAUGCAGGCAGGCUUUGUCUUUUCCCACAGCUACUCCAGGGAAACGGCCGCCUUAUCCUCCUGUAGACUGAGCCUUUGGCCCAGCCACUGCACUUGGGGGUGGCAGUCGCAGGCAGGUUCUGUGCUGUCAUGCAGCCAUCCAGGGAGGGAACCACUUCUCCAGCUGCGGACUGAGCCUCUGACCUACCACCGCACCAGGGCUGGCUCCCCUCCUCCCCAGGAGCCUGAAAAGGGAGCUGGCCCCAGUCCAAAGAAAGCCCCACAGUUAGAGAUCGGAUCCCUCUCAGUCUCAGUCCGAGGUCUUUCUCUUGUCCAGCUACAGUCCUGCACUUCCCUAGCCGCUCUUUCUCUUCCCUUUGUGUCUCUGAAGAAGGGGGUCCCUCCACUCCAUGCCCACGUGGCCUUUUUUUAUAUCCCCCAGGUCGCAGUUACCCCCCUAUCUUUUUUCUAGCUUUCCCAUUUUCUUCCUAAUAGAUUCAGUCUCUUUUCCUCACAGCCUCUGGUGUGCAAAGUCCUUUGGCUUCUACACUUCUUUGUUUGAGAGUCGCGGGAUGUAUGGAUACCCCUACUUCUCUGCCAUGUUGGCCCUCUUCCCCCUAAAGAUUUUCUCUGAUGCUUUCU
rnacentral:lncRNA from 1 species